UUAAUAGACGCUGGGGAGUACGCCGCAAGGUUAAACUCAAAUGAUUGACGGGCCGCACAGCGGUGGAGCAUGUGGUUAUCGAUGCACGCGAGACCUACCUGGUCUGACAUCCACAGAACUGGCAGAGAUGCGUGGUGCUCGGGAACUGUGAGACAGGUGCUGCAUGGCUGUCGUCAGCUCGUGUCGUGAAAUGUGGGUUAAGUCCCGCAACGAGCGCAACCUUAUCUUUGUGCCAGCGGUCCGGCCGGGAACUCAAAGGAGACUGCCAGUGAUAAACUGGAGGAAGGUGGGGAUGACGUCAAGUCAUCAUGGCCUUACGACCAGGGCUACACACGUGCUACAAUGGCAUAUACAAAGAGAAGCGACCUCGCGAGAGCAAGCGGACCUCAUAAAGUAUGUCGUAGUCCGGAUUGGAGUCUGCAACUCGACUCCAUGAAGUCGGAAUCGCUAGUAAUCGUGGAUCAGAAUGCCACGGUGAAUACGUUCCCGGGCCUUGUACACACCGCCCGUCACACCAUGGGAGUGGGUUGCAAAAGAAGUAGGUAGCUUAACCUUCGGGAGGGCGCUUACCACUUGUGAUUCAUGACUGGGGUGAAGUCGUAACA
rnacentral:rRNA from 1 species